AGCCCGGCUAUGGCGGCCACGGUGGCUACGGCGGCUCCCAGCAGCUGGUCUUUGAGAUCAGAAACCUGAUCCAGAACAUCACAGUCCUGAGUGAUAACGAUGAGGUGAUCGAUGGACGUCUGGAGGAUCUGUUCGAUGCCAACGAGCUCAACUCCAUCCUGAGGGAGACUUUCCUCAACGAGCUUUUCCCCAACCUCAACAAGGACCUGGAUGCCCAGGACGCCAGCAUCACCGCUUUGGAGCAGAAGGCAAAGGCCCUGCUCAGACUGAGUGAUGACGUAGCAGUCCUGGCCAGCACCAUCGGUCAACUGGAGAACCAGGUCGCUGACGUGAAUGCCUCCACCCAGGGUCAGUUCAACCGCCUCUCCGACCUGGCCAACUAUGACGCCAUCCAGGACACCAAGCUUGGAGCCGUCGAC